rnacentral:rRNA from 1 species
CCUACGGGGAGCUGCAGUGGGGAAUAUUGGACAAUGGGGGCAACCCUGAUCCAGCCAUGCCGCGUGUGUGAAGAAGGCCCUCGGGUUGUAAAGCACUUUCAGUGAGGAAGAACGCCUGGUGGUUAAUACCCAUCAGGAAAGACAUCACUCACAGAAGAAGCACCGGCUAACUCCGUGCCAGCAGCCGCGGUAAUACGGAGGGUGCGAGCGUUAAUCGGAAUUACUGGGCGUAAAGCGCGCGUAGGUGGCUUGAUAAGCCGGUUGUGAAAGCCCCGGGCUCAACCUGGGAACGGCAUCCGGAACUGUCAAGCUAGAGUGCAGGAGAGGAAGGUAGAAUUCCCGGUGUAGCGGUGAAAUGCGUAGAGAUCGGGAGGAAUACCAGUGGCGAAGGCGGCCUUCUGGACUGACACUGACACUGAGGUGCGAAAGCGUGGGUAGCAAACAGGAUUAGAUACCCUGGUAGUC